ensembl:lncRNA
AUGGCAGCUGCAUCCACGGUGAUACCUUUGGGCCUCCUGCACAUGAGAUUGUUUCAGUUGUGGCUCAGAGCCAGGGGAUUUCAUCCAAGGGCCAAUCCCCAGAGGCAAAUAAGGGUUACGCGCCAGGGGCUUCGUACCCUAUCUAUGUGGUUCAGACCCCGGUUUCUGACUUUGGGUCCCACUCUAGGUCCGUGUUGUCAUCGUGAGAUGCUAAUGACAGACGCUUCCCUCAUGGGCUGGGGAGCGGUCUUAGAUGGCCGUCCAGCCCAGGGGAUCUGGAGAGGUCAUCUUCUCGAAUUGGCACAUCAAUUGGCUCGAAAUGAAGACUGUAUUUCUGGCCCUGAAAUACUUCCUCCAGUAGUUAAGAGGCUACCAUGUCCUAGUGCGGGUGGACAACACAUCUGUAGUCUCUUACAUAGAUCGCCAGGGCAGACUGCGGUAGCGCCGCUUGAACGAGUUAGCGCAGCAGGUUCUGCUUUGAGCACAGGACAAGUUCCUGUCCCUCAGGGCGAUUUACAUUCCUGGGCAUAUGAAUGUGGGAGCACACUUGCUGUCCAGACAAGCUGUGAAACACGGGGAAUGGAAACUCCACCCCAAAGUAGUCAGUCAAUCUGGGAUUGCUCUGCUCCCGGGAGUCCUAGCCAGGGUCCGUCGACAGGGGUCUCGCCUCUUACUGAUAGCGCCCCGUUGGCCGACCAGAGUCUGGUUCUCAGAUCUAAUAUCCCUCCUCGACGGCUCGCCGUGGGCGAUUCCGAUCAGGAGAGAUCUUCUCUCUCAGGCGCAGGGGACAGUAUUUCAUCCCCGGCCCGAGCUCUGGAACCUUCACGUCUGGCCCCUGAGGGGGACCAACUAAGAGAUGCUGGCCUUUCAGCAAAUGUAAUAGAAACUAUUCUAAGUGCUAGGGCUCCCUCCACUAGAAGAACUUAUGCCCUCAGAUGGCGUGUUUUCGAGGGCUGGUGCAUGGAACACCAUGUAGACCCAGCUCACUGCCAAAUUGUUUCAGUACUGGAGUUCCUGCAAGAGAAAUUGUCCUCAGGCACAUCCCCUAGUACUCUCAGAACCUACGUGGCCGAUAUUUCAGCUUGCCAUGUUUUGAUUGACGGGGUUUCUGUGGGAAAGCACCAUCUAGUCGCCCGCUUCAUUCGUGGGGCUAAGCGGUUGAGGCCACCCACUAGAGCUAUGGUCCCUUCAUGGAAUUUAGCCAUAGUGCUCGAAGGGCUGGCUGGCACCCCUUUCGAACCAUUAGAAUCAGCGCCUGACAGGCUUCUGACUCUAAAGAUGCUUUUUCUUAUGGCCAUUACCGCUCUAAAGAGAAUUGGGGAUUUACAGGCUUUGUCAGUCCUGCCUUCCUGCUUAAAUUUUGCCCCUGGGCGAGUCAAAGUUAUUUUGCAUCCUCACCCUAAUUAUCCUCCGAAGGUUCCUUUCUCGACCAUACAUCCGGUCAUUCUCAAAGCCUUCUGUCCUCCGCCAUUCACGACAGCGGAGCAAGAAAGACUUCACUUACUGUGUCCAGUACAUGCUCUUCAAUUUACGUCCACCGCACUAGCCAGUGGCGUAAGUCAGAGCAACUUUUCACAUGCCAUGGGGGCCACAACCGGGGGGCAGCUGCCACCAGGCAAACAAUUUCACAUUGGGUGA